AGCGGCGUGGCCCAGUGGAGAGGGCACGGGCCUAGGAGUCGGAGGACCUGGGUUCUACUCCCGGCUCUGCCA
rnacentral:tRNA from 1 species